GAAUUUUCCGCAAUGGGCGAAAGCCUGACGGAGUGACGCCGCGUGUGGGACGAAGGCCUUCGGGUCGUAAACCACUGUCAGUGGGAAAGAUGGGCGCCGGCGCGAUAACCGCCGGUGCUUGACGGUACCUGCAGAGGAAGCCCCGGCCAACUCUGUGCCAGCAGCCGCGGUAAGACAGAGGGGGCAAGCGUUGCUCGGAAUUACUGGGCGUAAAGGGCGCGUAGGCGGGAUGGCAAGUCGGUUGUGAAAUCCUUCGGCUCAACCGAAGAACGUCGAUCGAUACUGCCAUUCUUGAGGGAUGCAGAGGAGACUGGAAUUCCCGGUGUAGCGGUGAAAUGUGUAGAGAUCGGGAGGAACACCGGUGGCGAAGGCGGGUCUCUGGGCAUCUCCUGACGCUGAGGCGCGAAAGCGUGGGGAGCAAACGGG
rnacentral:rRNA from 1 species